rnacentral:rRNA from 1 species
UACGUAGGGUGCAAGCGUUGUCCGGAAUUAUUGGGCGUAAAGAGCUCGUAGGCGGUCUGUCGCGUCGGCUGUGAAAACCUGGGGCUCAACUCCGGGCCUGCAGCCGAUACGGGCAGACUAGAAUUCGGCAGGGGAGACUGGAAUUCCUGGUGUAGCGGUGAAAUGCGCAGAUAUCAGGAGGAACACCGGUGGCGAAGGCGGGUCGCUGGGCCGGUACUGACGCUGAGGAGCGAAAGCCAGGGGAGCAAACGGG